UAUCCUACGGGAGGCAGCAGUGAGGAAUAUUGGUCAAUGGGCGCGAGCCUGAACCAGCCAAGUCGCGUGAGGGAAGACGGUCCUAUGGAUUGUAAACCUCUUUUGUCGGGGAGCAAAAGACGCCACGUGUGGCGUUCCGAGAGUACCCGAAGAAAAAGCAUCGGCUAACUCCGUGCCAGCAGCCGCGGUAAUACGGAGGAUGCGAGCGUUAUCCGGAUUUAUUGGGUUUAAAGGGUGCGCAGGCGGAAGAUCAAGUCAGCGGUAAAAUUGAGAGGCGAAACAGCUUCGAGCCGUUGAAACUGGGU
rnacentral:rRNA from 1 species